rnacentral:rRNA from 1 species
UACAGAGGGGGCAAGCGUUGUUCGGAAUUACUGGGCGUAAAGGGCGCGUAGGUGGCCCGCUAAGUCGAACGUGAAAUCCCCGAGCUCAACUCGGGAACUGCGUCCGAUACUGGUGGGCUUGAAUCCGGGAGAGGGAUGCGGAAUUCCUGGUGUAGCGGUGAAAUGCGCAGAUAUCAGGAGGAACACCGGUGGCGAAGGCGGAUCUCUGGGCCAUUACUGACGCUGAGGAGCGAAAGCGUGGGGAGCGAACAGG